CACACAAUACUGGGAAUCAUGGCAUAGCCAAGUUGACACACGUUUUUGGGAGACCCAAUUGAAUCCAUAACAUUGAUUGCCAGGCAUUUCUUCCUAGGCACCUCUGGGUGGAAUUGAAGUGCCAUCCUUUGGAUUAACAGCCAGCAGAUUAACCGUUUGCAUCAACCAGGGACUCUGUGAGCUUAACAAUGAACAUAAUGUCCUUUUUACCAUUUUGGGGGGAUUAGGGUCAGGUAUAAGAUCCAAUCCAGGAUUGCACAUUGAAUUUAGUUGUCGUAUCUCUUUAGUCUCUUUUAAUCUAUAACAGUUUCUCAGUCCUUCUUUGCCUUCUAUUGAUGUUUUUAAUGAGCGUAAUAUAGUCACUUUGUGGAAUGUUUUUCAAAUGGGUUCAUCUGAUGUUUCCUUGUAAUUAGGUAAGGAGCCCUGGUAGUGCAGUGGUUAAGCGUUUGGUUACUAACCAAAAGGUUUGAACCCACCAGCCACUCCCAGGCAGAAAAAUGAGGCAAUUUGCUUCAGUAAAGAUUACAGCCUAGAAAACCCUAUGGGGCAGUUCUACUCUGUCCUAUAGGGUUGCUAUGAGUCGGAAUCAACUUGACAGCACCCGACAGCAAUAACUUGGUUUGAGAACAGUGCUUCAUGCCUCCCACCAAAGAAUCUUAAUUUGAACUGAAUAGCCUAAAUUCUUCAUAAGAUUCUCAACAUCACAUUUAAGAGUAAAAAUGGAUUGGGGUGCCCAUGUGUUUCUGGGUUUUCUUCUUGGAAGGAGAUGAGCUGUUUGGGUAUGUGUGAAUGGUCUGAGGAAGGUUAAGAGAGGGCCGGAGCUGUUUCUUGUAAACUGACAGUUCCAGGGAGUGAGUUGGAGAUAAUCACAUAAUCCAUUUAUAACCAUCCAAGUUAACAAGAUCGCACCUUCUCCAAAUAGGCCCCUUAUUUACAAAUAGUCACUUCCCCUUAAAAGUGGGCUGUCGCCCUUGUGACUUGAGUCAAAUGCAGUGAGUCUCAUGACAUGAUAUUCCCACAACACUACAAAGAUCAAUUCCCAUUAGGAACAUUAUUAGAACUGGAAAUGUGUUUUUUAAAUGUAUAAUCUGAGCUUUGAAGAUAAUUUUUUCUCUUAUUUUGUAGACAGUCUUCUCCCCAAAAUAACUAGCAGGCUAUGCCUGCCCAACUUGAUCCCAGGUUGCAUCAGUAGACAUGGAACCUCCCAGAACAAGGGCGGCAGGAGUCCUGUGUCACUGUGGUAACAAAUAUCGUCAAAAUAAUCUGCAAAUAUUGCCUGGUCAGACCAUACGUGGAGAGUGUUGAGAGCCAUUCAUAAAUGCAAUAAUUUACAGGAGAGAAUGGGUAAGUUGCUGAAGAAUUCAAAAUCAAGUCAUAAGAUUCAUUUUUUGGACUUUUUUAGUUUAGCUUUGUCUUAUGCCCCAUCUUGGGUUUUCCGCUCCCGUUCCUCUAUGACUAGAACUCUUGUCUCUCCCUUAUCAGUUCUCAUCCCAUGACAAGGGCUGUGCUCCCCUACCGACACAUUUGCAAACGUAGUCUGCAGCCAAGAUAUUGGAAGAUUUCUUCCAAAAGAGGUGCAAGAUGGCUAUCUGGUUGAAGGAAGUUUAGUUCACCUGGAGCUCUCUCUAUGCUCUUCAAAUCCUACAUUCUGCUAUGAGAAUGAGCUUUCUUCCAGAACAGCAAGUGGAAUCUGCCUGUCCACCAUGUCUUCUACCCCUCAGGUGGCAGGUCUAGCCCAGGUACAGGUCUUCCCUCUGUUUCCAUCUGGCUGAAGAGCCCAGUGUGCCUGGCCAUGUCCUCAGACACACACCACUGUGGGAACAGAGACGCUGAGAGAAGAGAGCUGCCUGCACACAGGAAGGGCAGCCAGGAAGAUGGGGGAUUAGACAUUCAAGUGCAGCCCCAAGAGUUAUGAGCUGGAAGUCAGGAGGGACUCCAUGAGAGACCUGGGCUCCAUAGAAGGAAGAACUUUCUAACUACUCUGCUUACCUUUAUCUCUCCUCAGUGACUUGUUAAACUGAGUAGAGUCGAGACCAAACCCCAAAACACAUUGCAGUCAAAUUGAUUCUGACUCACAGCGACCCUAUAAGACAGCGUAGAACUGCCCCAUAGGAUUUUCAAGGAGCAGCUGGUGGAUUCAAACCGUCGACCUCUUGGUUAGUACCCGAGAGCCCUCUAAAAAUGUAAUAGGUGCCCUUAAAAUGGUAGCAAGUUACCUUCUCACUACCAAUAUUUGCAGAAAAGCUGAAAGUACUUCGGUGGGCUGCUGAAGGAAGUGGGGCACACGAGAUAAUUUUUAAAGAUCCCUUCUAAGCCUGAGAUUCUAUGAGGGUCAAUAAUCAAAUGUUAGUGAAAUUUUGCCUGAGUAUUUUUCCUAAAGUAAUUGCUCGCUAAUCUGUCUUGUUCAGAAUUCAAAGAAAUGUUUCUCAGUGGUUGACAAAGAAGAGUCAAUUUCAUUUUCUAUGUAUGUCCCCAGAAUUCAUGGGAUUCAUACAAAGUCGUGUAAAAUGGGAGAACCUUACAUGUUUCUUGAUGUUGUUACAUCAACAGAAUCCCACACUCCAGGGCUACUUGGUGAGACCACUUGGAAGCUAAAAACAACUUAUUAUUUCUUCAGGUCAUGCUCUACUAAUGCAGCAAAACAAAAAUUGGGGAGUUUUAUUCCAUCUGGAUAUACUAUGUAGGGGAAAUGUAAAAAAAACAAACAAACCAAAAACAAAGGGCAAAACUCAGAUUUCAACUCAAGGAAAAAUUAACUUGCAAAUAUUAUCAAAAUAAUUUUUUCCAUUUAUUGAACAAGAUGACUUUCUGAAUGUACGCAUUUGCUUUAUGAACACAGAGUAAAAUAUUUAUUUCCAUCUUCAUUUUAGUCUAGUGAUCACUACAUAAAUUUAGACAUAGAUAAUGGACAUGCUUUACACAAGAACAUGCGUGGGCUUCGGUUAAUUUGGUGUGUCCAUGGUAUUAGGUGAUUUCCAGGCUUUGUGGAAGUUCAUUAGGUGGGCAUUAGCACAUCUGCCCCCAUGACCAUCAGGCCAUGAGCUCACAAAACCAGUGCUCAUGAGUGAUAGAAACGUGCUGACCACAGCAAACAGUUAUUUUUGAUGGGGUCAUUAACUUAGGGAAACCUUUCUGCACCUAGAAACACCCUUCCUUUGCUGUUAUUGUACAAUGUUGUCUACUUCCCUUCUGGCUAAUGUGUGACAUUAAAUGUCCUUGUUUGGGGGCAGUAAAAUGUAUGACAUUUCCUUUUUCAUGUGGGCUUGCACAACCGCGAAGGCUAAAUAUUACCAAUGAUGACUCUGUGAAAAGAUCCACAGUCUUUAAAAAGGGCAACGUCCCUUCUAUGUUGCAGAUAAAUAGAAAGAAAAAAAUUUUUUUUCCCAGAAGUGUUGCUUGGCUUUUGGGUCUGUUGAUGAAUCCAGUAAGAAGUAAUAUGUAAAAUCUCUUCAUAUGAAAAUAACUUUUUCUCUAAGAAUACAGAUUCGAAAGAAGACCAAAACAUUUCUUAACAGUUCUGGAAAAAGUUUUUUCCAUUAAUUUCCCAGGCAACAAAAAUUAUACAAAGGGAAAGAGCUAGACACAUGGAGUCUCACUUUUUUAGAAAUUACUAAAUUAAAAUUUUGGCCAUUUGUAAAGCUAUUAGUAAAUUUAAAUGGAUUUGCCCAAUCGGACCUCUGAAUUGACAGGGUCAGUGAAGACAAUGGAUAGAGGGGGACGCGCUCACUUUGCAGGACAAAAAGACCCAGUUAAAUACUGACCCAGUUCCCUGAGUAGUACUCAUAUUCCCUCAAAGUCUUACAAUAUUUACCUCUCAUGGAUAUGCCCUGUCUGAAUGUUUGGGGCCUACAAUAAAAUGACAAUGUCAGUUUAUGCAAGAACAUGAUCAUUUACUGGUUAAAUAUUUUUCGGAAUGCCUACAUUUCAGUUAACACUGUACAAAUCAGUAAAUAUCUUAAGGGACUCACAGCAUGCCUACAAGACACAAAUAUACAAAGUUAUGGCAAGCUUAUGGCAAGGCUCCUUAACAUAACAGGAAAUGUACAGGCACAGAGAUGAAAAUAUAGGCCAUCUAUUGUAAAUGAGCCAUAUUUUUGACAAAGGAUACUAUCUGAAAAGCACAGAAGAAUAUUUUAUCCAAGAGGGAAUUACAAACAUAAAAAUAAAAUAUCUGGUAUUCUACACUAUAUUACAAAAAUAAAUACAGCGAUCAAUAAAUAGGAGGAAGCCCAGAAAAUUUCACAUGAAUAUUUGGGUUGUUGGCUGCCAAAGCCUCUGUUCCAACUCCCAUCAAGGAUUGUUUAGCUUUAUGGAUUCCAGUGAUGAUAACUCUGCUGUAAAAGACUGCCGUGAGGCCUAGUGGAGGGUCUAUGGCCAGAGGAAGACCUUGGUAAAUUCUACUUUCCUGAGAAUCUGACAAUUUUAUAGUUUACUAUUAAUGCAGUGGGGUAGAGGACUUGCAGAUGUACUGUGAGGGGUCUGAUAGGAGAUGGGUUGGAGGAGACCAGGGAAAAUUCUCUUUAUGAUUUAUGUAUUUCUGGUUUUUGAUGAGGAGAAAGCAAAAAAAAAAAAAAAAAAAAAGGAUGUAACUAGUAACAUUUGAAUAACCAAUAUGGGGCUCUAUACAUUCACUUUCCAUACAGAGGAGACAAAUUAUAGAAAUACAGGUUUACGUCUGGACUAUGGUAAAAGGAGAAACAUCUAGGCUAUGCAGCCUAAUCGUCGAUAGCUUAGAUUUUCACCUCUCUUAAACAGUAUAGUGAUAAUAGGUGCUCACAGCAAGCGCUGACUGGGCGCUCUGGCGAGCCCACAGAGGGUUUGGGGGAAGCAAAGGCUAGCAUGGUAUUUGUGUUCUAAUAUCAGUGUGUGCAUGUCAGUGGUGUGCUGGCUCAAAUGGGUUUUCAAGAGCCCGUGAUUAAAUUUGCAGGAAUUUUGCAAGCCAUUCAACUUCUCAUUGGUACUUGAGAUAAGCCAUGAAUUUUGAUGUCAAAUGGGAAUAUUCACGUCAUUGAAACCUACAAAUCAAGGCUUUUUUUCCCCCCAGAGCACUAUGGAAAACAUUUACCAGCACACCCCUUUCUUAUAUUUUCAACAUAAAGAAAAUUUUACUUGAUUUUUAUCUAACCAGAGCUAGCCUAUUCAGCCAAGGUUUUACUGUAUAUCUAUUACAGUACCUUUUGAAAGGAUAAGAAGUACCGUAGAGUAUACAUCGUGUACCAUGAAUUAUCAAAGAUGCACCACAUUCCUUUGAGGGCGCUAAGCUUGGCUGUCCAAAGCCAGUUGCACAAACACACACACACACAAGUUAUUUUAUAUGAAGGCUAUUCCAUAAAUGAACAAUUCCGAGUUCCUUGGCCAUCCCAAAUUGUCAGUUUCUGUAUACAUACUGAUGGUUGAAAUUCCACUCUUCCAGGGACACUGAAUUCCCCCGGGACAUUACUUCUGGACACCAGUGGGCAAUGAAGGUACAGAGCUGAGGUCAAAAUAAGUACAAAGCCAAUGAGAGACGAAUUUCUCCAUUGAAAGAAGUUCCUCUUCCCUUGCUGAAUUGCUGCUGUUGAAGAUGUCAGGUGCCAAUGUCAUCCACUCCAGUGUUUGACUAAACUCAUAAAUGCCUCAAGUAGCUUGGGAAUGGAGCUUCCCGCAUGGCAACACUGGGAAGGCUGGAGAACUCCAGGUCAAGAUGGAAAUCAGUCAAUGGGAUGAGGUUGAAGAUUCAUGACAAUUAUCAGAGAUGACUGAUUUAAAGGGAAUUGAGUAGAGAUGGGGCCCAACAGGAGAUGUAACAAUUUGGGGGUGGGGGAGUUCUGUUUCCUCUGGAAUAUAAAAGAAGGGCAUGGAAAGGAUUGAAUGCUUGAGCUUUCUCUUUAGUAUUUGUCAUUCUCUUUUCUUGCUUGUGGGAGCCCUGGUGGUGCAGUGGUUAAGAGUUCAGCUGCUAACCAAAAGGUCAGCUGUUCGAAUCCACCAGCUGCUCCUUGGAAACCCUAUGGGGCAGUUCCGUCCUGUCCUAUAAGGUCCCUAUAAGUUGGAAUCGACUUGUGUCUCUUGCUUGUGUAUCCCUCUAGUGUUUAGCUAAGUACACACUGUAUGCUGGAUACUUGACUAAGAACGUCCCUGUAACCUUACCUUCUCUCUAAUUCCUCUAAUGUUUUAUUUAAUACAAUAUUUAAGAGCAAAGUCUUUUUGUGCCCUUCGACGUGGGAUCCACCACUUAUUGAUCAUGUGACCUUGAGCUAAUUACUGAAAUGCUCUGAGAUGUUUUCUUAUUUGUAAAAUGGAGAUUAUAAUAUUACCUACCUCAUGGAGUUGUUGUGAGGCUAAAUCAGAUAAUGCCUGUAAAAUGUUUUAAGCCCAAUGCUGGUGAAUAGUAAGCAUUUACUAUGUUUAUUUAGUGCACCUUUUGUUCUUCUUAUUAGAAUGAACCAUUGAAAUUGCUGUUUUUGUAUGUCAAAAUGGUAGAAUAUUGGUAAACUUCAUAUGGUUUCAUAUGGUUAAACUUCAUGAAUGCUUUGUUUUCUUUUGGCUUAUAGUUGUUGCCAGCAGGGUUAAGGAGAUCUAUCUACUUAACUGUGUAAAUAAGGAAACACCCAUGAUAUUCAAAGAGGUCCAGGAAUAAGUUUAUUUAAGUCAGGACUGGUAUCUUAUGCUUCUUUGUAUAAUUAAGCACUUAACUCAAGGCUACUCAUAUAAAACCAAAAAACCCGUUGUCUUUGAGUCGAUUCUGACUCAUAGAGACCCUACAGGACAGAGCAGGAGUGGCUGGUGGAUUUAAACUGCUGCACUUUUGGUUAGCAGCCAUAGCUCUUAACCACUGCACCACCAGGGUUCCAUAUAGGAGAUGAUUAAUAAAUACUGCGGCACUGAAUUCAUACAUGUAAAUAUGUCAACUUUUUUUUCUCUCUAAAUCACUCCAUUUUCCUUGGCUAUAAAAUUCUAUAUCUGAUUCCUAAGAUCAAGUUGACACAGUCAUUUCAAAAGCAUGAAAAGCAAAUAUUUAUGACUUUGGUUGACCUUGUUGAGUUUGGGAACCAGAUCUGUCAUAUAUAAACCAUUUCACUUGAAACCAGUGAUGCUUGAUGAAAGCAAGCAUCUGCAAAUGAAAACAUGGGAAUGGGUGUUAAGGGUAAUGGUUUCAGUCAUAUCUCUGCCCCUUUUCAAAAAAUGAAAAGAGAUAUCAUGUCAGCAAUAAAAGGAGCUAGAGGUUACAAGAGGCCUUUCCCAGCCAGGAAUGAGAGCAACACGAGCAGCCCAAGGAAGCUUGAGGUCUCCAGCGCACACUCUGGGCAGCAGUACUGCCAGGCCUAAAAACCACGCAUAGUUAUAGAUACCACUUCACUCUCUCUCUAAUUUAGGCCCAGAGGAGACAGUUAUGUGACUAUUAUUUUGAUGCAUGAUUAAAAGAUAGGCUUUCAGAUGAGUUACACCGAAAAGCAAAAUUGACAAGUGUAAAUGUGAAUUUAAAACAUAAUUUUGGAGGUUAAGUGUUUGCAUUGAAAAAUAUUCUUCAAUUUAAUAAAAUGAUUAUUUUCCUCAUUUCUUUUUGAGAGCUCCUAGAGAGUUGUAAUUGUUAAGGUUGUGUGUCAACUUGGUGGGGCCAUGAUUCUCAGUGAUUUGGUGGUU